rnacentral:rRNA from 1 species
UACGUAGGUGGCAAGCGUUGUCCGGAUUUACUGGGCGUAAAGAGCGCGCAGGCGGUCGUUCAAGUCGCGUGUGAAAGCCCCCGGCUCAACUGGGGAGGGUCACGCGAUACUGAUCGACUCGAAGGCAGGAGAGGGUAGUGGAAUUCCCGGUGUAGUGGUGAAAUGCGUAGAUAUCGGGAGGAACACCAGUGGCGAAGGCGACUACCUGGCCUGUUUCUUAACGCUGAGGCGCGAAAGCUAGGGGAGCAAACGGG